GACGAACGCUGGCGGCGUGCCUAAUACAUGCAAGUCGAGCGGACUUUUUAAAAGCUUGCUUUUAAAAAGUUAGCGGCGGACGGGUGAGUAACACGUGGGCAACCUGCCCUGUAGACUGGGAUAACCUCGGGAAACCGAAGCUAAUACCGGAUAAUCAAUUGAAGCACCUACUUCUAUUGUAAAGGUUGGGAUACUAACACUACAGGAUGGGCCCGCGGCGCAUUAGCUAGUUGGUAAGGUAAUGGCUUACCAAGGCGACGAUGCGUAGCCGACCUGAGAGGGUGACCGGCCACACUGGGACUGAGACACGGCCCAGACUCCUACGGGAGGCAGCAGUAGGGAAUCUUCCGCAAUGGACGAAAGUCUGACGGAGCAACGCCGCGUGAACGAUGAAGGCCUUCGGGUCGUAAAGUUCUGUUGUUAGGGAAGAACAAGUACCGUUCGAAUAGGGCGGUACCUUGACGGUACCUAACCAGAAAGCCACGGCUAACUACGUG
rnacentral:rRNA from 1 species